GUAAACGUGCGGAUUGGUAUCGGGAAAAUCCGAAGAUUAUUGAAGUCUGUAUAUAAUUGAAGGUCUCAGAAAUUGGCCGAGAUUGGUAAACCGACGCCUCAGGAUCUGCGAUUCACUCAUGAACACCUUCCCAUUCAUUUUGCGAACCUUCGAGAGCCAAUCAUUAAGAAGAGGUUCUAAGCCAACACACAAGGAAAAACAGGGAUGCAUAAAAUAUAAUAGAAACAAUAAAACCCUAUAGAAGUAAGAAAAGUUCCGUAACACAAAUUAGUUUGGGGAUGAACGGGUCUCCUGGUCCAAACGAAAAUGAACCGGAAAACAGUAUUUUCACUAGAACCGGACAAUCAUCUUCAGGAAAACCGUAAAGGAGUGCAUAAACAUGAGUAUGCCCGUAUAUUACCUCUAAGAAGACCUGAUAAGUCAGUCACUUUAUAGAAAAUGAUUUUGAAGCAGCCCUCAUGAAUAGAGAAAAGAAAUGGUUCCAGUUAGAUGGAUGACCUACAUAUUACACUUUGCCAGUUCGACGAUGGCAGGAUAACAAUUUUCCAGAUAUGUCGUGCUCAAGACAUUUUUUUCCUUGUAUUGCGUGCUCUCCGGAUUUUAUCCCUUUGGAUUUUUUACACCCAUGGAGUGUAACUUUAUUUUGAAAAAAGUGGCGAUAAUUUUGAACAAUUUUUGUGAAUUUAUCUUACAAAUUUUCUAAUAAAAUAAAAUGUAUCUCAUGAAUCGAGAAGCAUUUUUGUUUUUCUGUUUUAAAUGUUGAUGUUGAAAUAACAUCCAAUAUUUUAUUGAUUUUUACGUGCUAUUUUAUAUUACUUUAUAUUUUAAUAUUGUUUGCUUGGACUUUUAGUUAUUGUUUUUAGUGGUCUUUGUUUUGUUUUGUUUUUUAAACAAAGUGUGUUAUGAAAAAUCUAAGAAGGCAAAUAGUGUGUGUUAAAUACAUAAUAAAUAAAUCAUCCCAAUAAUGUCCGCCCAUGUAAUUGAUGUAAAUGUGUGAAAUAAUACCAGAGCAGUUAGAGAAAAUGUGUUAAUCAUUUAAAGUUGAAAAUAAUUAUAAAAAACUUGGGACAAUUUAAAACCAUUCAUUAUAUCUUUAGAUGAGAGUGAUAGCAGAGACUCAAACUAUUCUGGCGACAAAGUUUAUUUAAUAUCUGUUUAUUA